rnacentral:rRNA from 1 species
UACGUAGGGUGCAGGCGUUAAUCGGAAUUACUGGGCGUAAAGCGUGCGCAGGCGGCUUUGCAAGACAGAUGUGAAAUCCCCGGGCUCAACCUGGGAAUGGCGCUUGUGACUGCAAAGCUGGAGUGCGGCAGAGGGGGAUGGAAUUCCGCGUGUAGCAGUGAAAUGCGUAGAUAUCGAGAGGAACACCGAUGGCGAAAGCAGCUCCUAGGCUCACUACUGACACUGAAACACGAAAGCGU